rnacentral:rRNA from 1 species
UACGUAGGGUGCGAGCGUUAAUCGGAAUUACUGGGCGUAAAGCGUGCGCAGGCGGUUUUGUAAGCCAGAUGUGAAAUCCCCGGGCUUAACCUGGGAAUGGCAUUUGGGACUGCAAGGCUCGAGUGCGGCAGAGGAGACUGGAAUUCCUGGUGUAGAGGUGAAAUUCGUAGAUAUUAGGAAGAACACCAGUGGCGAAGGCGGCUCACUGGCCCGGUACUGACGCUGAGGCGCGAAAGCGUGGGGAGCAAACAGG